GAUGAACGCUAGCGGGAGGCCUAACACAUGCAAGCCGAGCGGUAGAGAUCUUUCGGGAUCUUGAGAGCGGCGUACGGGUGCGGAACACGUGUGCAACCUGCCUUUAUCUGGGGGAUAGCCUUUCGAAAGGAAGAUUAAUACCCCAUAAUAUACUGAAUGGCAUCAUUCGGUAUUGAAAACUCUGGUGGAUAGAGAUGGGCACGCGCAAGAUUAGAUAGUUGGUGAGGUAACGGCUCACCAAGUCUACGAUCUUUAGGGGGCCUGAGAGGGUGAUCCCCCACACUGGUACUGAGACACGGACCAGACUCCUACGGGAGGCAGCAGUGAGGAAUAUUGGACAAUGGGUGAGAGCCUGAUCCAGCCAUCCCGCGUGAAGGACGACGGCCCUAUGGGUUGUAAACUUCUUUUGUAUAGGGAUAAACCUACCCUCGUGAGGGUAGCUGAAGGUACUAUACGAAUAAGCACCGGCUAACUCCGUGCCAGCAGCCGCGGUAAUACGGAGGGUGCAAGCGUUAUCCGGAUUUAUUGGGUUUAAAGGGUCCGUAGGCGGAUCUGUAAGUCAGUGGUGAAAUCUCACAGCUUAACUGUGAAACUGCCAUUGAUACUGCAGGUCUUGAGUGUUGNUGAA
rnacentral:rRNA from 1 species